rnacentral:rRNA from 1 species
UACGUAGGGAGCAAGCGUUGUCCGGAAUCAUUGGGCGUAAAGCGCGCGUAGGCGGCCUCAUAAGUCCGUUGUGAAAGUCAAAGGCUCAACCUUUGAAAGCCGAUGGAUACUGUGAGGCUAGAGUCCGGAAGAGGCGAGUGGAAUUCCUGGUGUAGCGGUGGAAUGCGUAGAUAUCGGGAGGAACACCAGUGGCGAAGGCGACUACCUGGCCUGUUCUUGACGCUGAGGCGCGAAAGCUAGGGGAGCAAACGGG